GUCAGUGUCGUCUAGUGGUUAGGACGCGAGCUUCACACGCUCGAGACGAGGGUUCGAUCCCCUCCUCUGAUA
rnacentral:tRNA from 1 species